rnacentral:rRNA from 1 species
CAUUUGUUCCUUAAAUAGGGACUUGUAUGAAUGGCCACACGAGGGCUUUACUGUCUCUUACUUCCAAUCCGUGAAAUUGACCUUCCCGUGAAGAGGCGGGAAUAUGACAAUAAGACGAGAAGACCCUAUGGAGCUUUAAUUAACCGACCCAAAGAGAUCUUGAUAAUCAACCGACAGGGAUAACAUACCUCUACCAUGGGCCGACAAUUUAGGUUGGGGUGACCUCGGAGAAUAAAACAACCUCCGAGUGAUUUAAAUCUAGACUAACUAGUCGAAAGUACUACAUCACUUAUUGAUCCAAAAACUUGAUCAACGGAACAAGUUACCCUAGGGAUAACAGCGCAAUCCUAUUUUAGAGUCCAUAUCGACAAUAGGGUUUACGACCUCGAUGUUGGAUCAGGACAUCCCGAUGGUGCAGCAGCUAUCAAAGGUUCGUUUGUUCAACGAUUAAAGUCCU